CUACGGGGCGCAGCAGUGAGGAAUAUUGCACAAUGGGGGGAACCCUGAUGCAGCAACGCCGCGUGGAGGAUGACGCAUUUCGGUGUGUAAACUCCUUUUAUAUGUCAAGAAAAUGACGGUAGCAUAUGAAUAAGCACCGGCUAACUCCGUGCCAGCAGCCGCGGUAAUACGGAGGGUGCAAGCGUUACUCGGAAUCACUGGGCGUAAAGGACGCGUAGGCGGGUUGGAAAGUCAGGUGUGAAAUCCUACAGCUUAACUGUAGAACUGCACUUGAAACUUCUAAUCUAGAGUAUGGGAGGGGGAGAUGGAAUUAGUGGUGUAGGGGUAAAAUCCGUAGAUAUCACUAGGAAUACCUAAAGCGAAGGCGAUCUCCUGGAACAUUACUGACGCUAAGGCGUGAAAGCGUGGGGAGCAAACAGGAUUAGAUACCCGCUAGUC
rnacentral:rRNA from 1 species